AUGUUGAAUUUGAUUAGGAGGCAUACAAACUGUGUGAAGCUGGCUUUAAAGGAAAAGAAUAAGAUGGAUAGGAUGAAAUUUUGUUUGUCGAUGCUUGAUGAGGCAACAACAGCAACUGCAAGGCCUAAGUUCAAGAUUAUGCAUAAUGUUGUCCAUAUUGACGAAAAGUGGUUUAACAUGACAAAGAAGAAUAGAACAUAUUAUCUGCUGGAUGGGGAGGAAGAGCCUACGAGGCCUAUACACGGCAACUGUAUUGGCAAGGUGAUGUUCUUAACGGCCGUUGCUAGGCCAAGGUGGGACAGCGAAGGAAACGUGACCUUCUCUGGGAAAAUCGGUAUCUGGCCAUUCGUGAAAGAAGUUCCUGCUCAGAGGAGGAGCGACAACAGACCCAGAGGUACAAUAGAGACAAAGUCAAUAAAGGUCGACAGAAAAGUGACGAGGGAGUUCCUGAUAGAGAAAGUCUUGCCAGCGAUAUAA
rnacentral:rRNA from 1 species